CCAAUAGCGUAUAUUAAAGUUGUUGCAGUUAAAAAGCUCGUAGUUGAACAUCGGGACCGGGGCUCUGGUCACGCCUUUCCGGCGGACGCCGGUGUUCCGGUCCCUUCUCCUAGCGAACCGUUAUGCCUUUAAUUAGGCGUAACGGGGAACUAGGGCUGUUACUUUGAAAAAAUUAGAGUGUUUAAAGCAGGCUUACGCUUGAAUAGAUUAGCAUGGAAUAACGGAAUAGGACGGCAUGAUCCUAUUUUGUUGGUUUCUAGGGUCACCGUAAUGAUUAAUAGGGAUAGUUGGGGGCAUUAGUAUUCAAUUGUCAGAGGUGAAAUUCUUGGAUUUAUUGAAGACUAACUACUGCGAAAGCAUUUGCCAAGGAUGUUUUCAUUAAUCAAGAACGAAAGUUAGGGGAUCGAAGACGAUCAGAUACCGUCGUAGUCUUAACCAUAAACUAUGCCGACUAGGAAUCGGACUCAGUUUAUUUUUAAAUGACGAG
rnacentral:rRNA from 1 species